rnacentral:rRNA from 1 species
GACGAACGCUGGCGGCGUGCUUAACACAUGCAAGUCGAACGAUGAACCAGGGCUUGCCCUGGGGAUUAGUGGCGAACGGUGAGUAACACGUGGGCAACCUGCCCCAGACACCGGGAUAACCUCUCGAAAGAGUGGCUAAUACCGGAUAUGACCACUUCGGGCAUCCGACGGUGGUGGAAAGGAUUCUGGUCUGGGAUGGGCCCGCGGCCUAUCAGCUAGUUGGUGGGGUAAUGGCCUACCAAGGCGACGACGGGUAGCCGGCCUGAGAGGGCGACCGGCCACACUGGGACUGAGACACGGCCCAGACUCCUACGGGAGGCAGCAGUGGGGAAUAUUGCGCAAUGGGCGAAAGCCUGACGCAGCGACGCCGCGUGAGGGACGAAGGUCUUCGGAUUGUAAACCUCUUUCAGCAGGGACGAAGCGAAAGUGACUGUACCUGCAGAAGAAGCACCGGCUAACUACGUGCCAGCAGCCGCGGUAAU